rnacentral:rRNA from 2 species
UACGAAGGGUGCAAGCGUUGCUCGGAAUUAUUGGGCGUAAAGGGUAGGUAGGUGGUGACAUUUGUCUGGGGUGAAAUCCCUGAGCUUAACUCAGGAAGUGCCUUGGAAACGGUGUCACUAGAGUACUGGAGAGGUUCGCAGAAUUCUUGGUGUAGCGGUGAAAUGCGUAGAGAUCAAGAGGAAUACCAGAGGCGAAGGCGGCGAACUGGACAGUUACUGACACUAAACUACGAAAGCGUGGGGAGCAAACAGG